rnacentral:rRNA from 1 species
UACGAAGGGGGCUAGCGUUGCUCGGAAUCACUGGGCGUAAAGGGUGCGUAGGCGGGUUUUUAAGUCAGGGGUGAAAUCCUGGAGCUCAACUCCAGAACUGCCUUUGAUACUGAAGAUCUUGAGUUCGGGAGAGGUGAGUGGAACUGCGAGUGUAGAGGUGAAAUUCGUAGAUAUUCGCAAGAACACCAGUGGCGAAGGCGGCUCACUGGCCCGAUACUGACGCUGAGGCACGAAAGCGUGGGGAGCAACAGGG